GAGAGGAGAGUGCCCUGUGAUGAGGAAGCAGAGACUGGAGUGAUGCAGCUAUAAGCCAAGGAACGCCCAGCAUUGCCAGCAACACCAGAAGCCCAGAGAAGUGCCUGCACCAGUGUUCUCUAGACCGUUCGGAGAGACCGUGGCUCUGUCGACAGCUGGCACCUUGAUUUUGGACUUCUAGACUCCAGAAUUAUACAAGAAUAAAUUUCUACUAUUGUAAGCCACCUAGUUCAUGGUAAUUUUUUAGGGAAGCCCUAAGAAUCUAAUACAGGCCCUCAGCAGAAAACAGACGGCCUACUCACAUGGGUAAAUGAGAAGUCUCUAUAGGAGCCGGCAGCAAGAGUGUGGGCAAGGCUGGUGGAAUCAGCACUCGAUGAUUAAGCACCUGGAUCUGGUAAAGACCUUCCCAGUGGAGACCUAAGGGGCAAAGGGCGGAAGCCGUUCCUGAAACCCAGGGAGGGCGGCUCAGCUGUGGUCGUUGAUGGAGGGAUGCAGCUAACCCUAGGCAGCCUGGAAGGAGCAAUACCCUGACCUUUCUCUCUCCUCCUGCCUUCCAUUGGCUGAACCCAACCAGAAGCCAGAACAAGGGAGCUGUUGGUGCAGUUCAGGUGCACCAGCCUCCUGGGGCAGAGAGCAGAGUGGAGAUGGGUGGAGAAUGGACCUGGAAGGGCCUGUGGAAAAUAUUGCUGGAAAAUAAAAAGGGAAUGUGGUUUGCACUAGAACCUUCGCAGAGAACCCAUAGCCACAGGCUGGAUGCUGGAGGCUUUUUGUCAAAGGAAUACCAGGACAACUCUAAAUGAGAAGAGCAUUGAGGAAGGACUGCCCUGUGUGAUCAUGUCAAGAACGGGCGAGGGUCGGAGAUUUUACCCUUCUGCAAGCUCAUACAUCAGCCUGGCACAGUUUCAUGGAGCUGGUAGAAGACAUGAGACUCUUGGGUAAAGCCAAAUGUCAGCAUUAUUGACAUUGUCUUGUGUGGCUUCCUAAAGCCCUAAUUCCCACAGAUGACAUGAAGAGGGCCAGGUGAGCUGCAUUGGGGGGAGGAACCCUGAGCUCAGGAAGCCCAAAUCAUUCCCAACGGCUGGAAGCAUGCCUGCCUUUGCUCCCGGGAGAGACUGUCUCUAUCUUCCAGGCCUGUUUGCUAUACACAUGUCCUUGAAAGAGAGCCCAGAAAAAAGACAUCUUCAGCUCAAAAGAUGCACAAAAAUUGCAGGAGAUCCAAAGACAAUUGUCUCCCAACAGAUAACAUAUUAUACAACCUCUGUAAUUAGAACAGGGAAUAUGGACCAUGAAAAAACAAACAAGUGCAAUGGAAUAUAAAGAUCAAAAUAGACCCAAAUUUUAUGGGAAUGUAGAGUUUGAUAAAGGCAUCAUAUCAUUGGGAGAAAUCAUGGACUUUUAACAAAUGAUGUU
rnacentral:lncRNA from 1 species